rnacentral:rRNA from 1 species
UAGGGAAUCUUCGGCAAUGGGGGCAACCCUGACCGAGCAACGCCGCGUGAGUGAAGAAGGUUUUCGGAUCGUAAAGCUCUGUUGUAAGUCAAGAACGGGUGUGAGAGUGGAAAGUUCACACUGUGACGGUAGCUUACCAGAAAGGGACGGCUAACUACGUGCGAGCAGCCGCGGUAAUACGUAGGUCCCGAGCGUUGUCCGGAUUUAUUGGGCGUAAAGCGAGCGCAGGCGGUUUGAUAAGUCUGAAGUUAAAGGCUGUGGCUCAACCAUAGUUCGCUUUGGAAACUGUCAAACUUGAGUGCAGAAGGGGAGAGUGUAAUUCCAUGUGUAGCGGUGAAAUGCGUAGAUAUAUGGAGGAACACCGGUGGCGAAAGCGGCUCUCUGGUCUGUAACUGACGCUGAGGCUCGAAAGCGUGGGGAGCGAACAGG